rnacentral:rRNA from 1 species
UGGUGGAGUGAUUUGUCUGGUUAAUUCCGUUAACGAACGAGACCUCGAUCUACUAAAUAGUUUUGCUCAAACUCUUCGAGUUUGGUAUUAACUUCUUAGAGGGACUCCGAUCUUCAAAAUCGUGGAAGUUCGAGGCUAUAACA